rnacentral:lncRNA from 1 species
CUGAGCCAGAAUUGGCCAGUUACUCUAUUUGGACCUAGAGUCUUCAGUGUCCAGUGGUUGCCAAGAGGAAAUGUAAUUACACCAGUAGAAUUGGAGGGUAAGAAACCUCCCCUCCCAGCCAGGCAUGAUCACCCACUCUUAGCAGAGUGAGUCACUUCAUCUACAUGGCUUAGAUAAUCAACAGGUAAGUGUUCCUGCCAACACUAACUAUCCUAACUAACCACAGAACCUGGGCUGAUAAUGGCUUUCAAAACACAGGAUUAGGUUUGGUUGACAUCCUCUAGUUAUUUAAAUUUUCUUUACUACAUUGAUUUUCUUUUCAAUCUUCAUUACUUUCCUUUUUGUUUUGCUUUGGUAUGCUUCCACUUUCAAAUUUUUAAGGUGCAUAUCAAAACAAUCAACUUCAGACAUUUAUUUUUU